rfam:Oryza sativa Japonica Group DNA, chromosome 2, cultivar: Nipponbare, complete sequence.
UUUAAGUGCAACCAUAAGUUUCCGCGUCUAACUUUGAUUAUUUGUCUUAUUUGAAAAAAAAUUAUAAUUAGUAUUUGUGUUGUUAUGAGAUGAUAAAACAUGAAUAGUACUUUACUCGUGACUUAUGUUUUUAAGUUUUUUUUUUAAAAAAUUUCAAAUAAGACGGACGAUCAAAGUUGGCACGGAAAACCAUGGCUGCACUUAAA